GUCAGACUGAGUAAACGGGCACUCAGUCAGAGGUUAGCUCUCCGUUUCGCUGCAGGCUCCCUUCAUUCUUCACAUAUCCGUGUCGAGCCGAGUGUAAAUCCCGAGGCUGAACGGCCUUUGUACAAGCACACACGCUUCGUAGCAGGGCGAAGCUAUGAGCUAGAAAAAUCCAGGCUGGCAGACAGCCUGUGUCUGACCAACCAAUCAGAGAGCUCCUUACAUCCCACGGUGUGGCUAAUUUGAAUAGCAGCAGGAUUUUUAAAAUGAAGUUGUUAAUCCAACUGCUAAUCCAACUGCUAAUCCACAUGUUAAUCCCUGAGCGAACAGGAAAGGGAAAUGGAUUUUGAAAUGCAGUUUAUUAAAGUGCAAUUCGAAAAAGGUUUUUGAAAUGCAGUUUAUUAAAGUGGAAUUCGAAAAUGUUUUUUGAAAUGCAGUUUAUUAAAGUGCAAUUCGAAAAUGUUUUUAUUAAAGUGGAAUUCGAAAAAGGUUUUUGAAAUGCAGUUUAUUAAAGUGGAAUUCGAAAAUGUUUUUUGAAAUGCAGUUUAUUAAAGUGCAAUUCGAAAAUGUUUUUUGAAAUGCAGUUUAUUAAAGUGCAAUUCGAAAAUGUUUUUAUUAAAGUGGAAUUCGAAAAAGGAUUUUGAAAUGCAGUUUAUUAAAAUUAAGCACAGAAUUUUUUAUUUCGAUGCGCGUGGCUCUUGUGGUCCUCCAUAUUCUUGAUGAUACCCAACAAGUUUGAAGCAGAAAUAUUGUUUCAGUGACAAGUUAUGGUAAUGGCCUGUAUUUGUAUAGCGCUUUACUAGUCCCUAAGGACCCCAAAGCACUUAAGUUAUAGGCCACAAUCACUUUUUGGCCGGUUGGAAAUUGCAUAUUAUCGGUUUUAUUUUUUCCUUAAAGAUU
ensembl:lncRNA